rnacentral:rRNA from 1 species
GCAAGCGUUACUCGGAAUCACUGGGCGUAAAGGACGCGUAGGCGGGUUGCCAAGUCUGAUGUGAAAUCCUAUGGCUUAACCAUAGAACUGCAUUGGAAACUGGYAACCUAGAGUAUGGGAGGGGGAGAUGGAAUUAGUGGUGUAGGGGUAAAAUCCGUAGAUAUCACUAGGAAUACCCAAAGCGAAGGCGAUCUCCUGGAACAUAACUGACGCUAAGGCGUGAAAGCGUGGGGAGCAAACAGGAUUAGAUACCCUGGUAGUCCACGCCCUAAACGAUGAACACUAGUCGUCGGGAUGCUAGUCAUCUCGGUGAUGCACUUAACAGAUUAAGUGUUCCGCCUGGGGAGUACGGUCGCAAGAUUAAAACUCA